CUGCAAGUAAUCGUUUGCUGUCACGAUCUCUACGUUGUGCUCUCGACAUUUCUCGUUUGGGUUAAUCAAAGCCACAGUCUCUGUUUUAAUUUAUCGUUUAUAGAAUGCUGAUUUCUAACACAUAUAUCAUGAAAUCAUCUUAUUAAUAUGUUCAUAACAUCACAACUCAACAAAAAUCGAUUCUUUUCCCAUGGUGUAGAUAUAUCAUUUGAGAUUUGGCCUGAGUCCAUGGGAAUCUAGCAAUAGUUCAUCUUCGCGGCAAAUACACGCCCCGUCAAUGCAUUGACAAUGCGGUUUGCAUUGGGUCUUGCAUGGAGUUAAGUCCAGCGAGCCUUCAACCCCGACAUUCUUCUCACCUGCAUCCACCAAAAUCCACGGUCGUGAUUUCAAGUUCAAAAGUCAACUGACUGUACAAUAUAGUGAAAAAGAAUGUAAUAAAUUCAAAACGAGAUCAUAAUGUAAAUAAAAACAAGAUCUCACAUGUGCUAGCUGCGAAAAUCAAGAAAAGGAUGAAAAGGACAGAUUUCACUUGAGAUUUCUCCAUGGUUAUGGAAGGUUUCUCUCCCCGAAUGAUCCUCUCAAUUUUGGUGGAUAUAAUUUGUGAAUUGUGG
rnacentral:lncRNA from 1 species